UGGGGAAUAUUGCACAAUGGGCGCAAGCCUGAUGCAGCAACGCCGCGUGAGGGACGACGGCCUUCGGGUUGUAAACCUCUUUUAGUAGGGAAGAAGCGAAAGUGACGGUACCUGCAGAAAAAGCACCGGCUAACUACGUGCCAGCAGCCGCGGUAAUACGUAGGGUGCGAGCGUUGUCCGGAAUUAUUGGGCGUAAAGAGCUCGUAGGCGGUCUGUCGCGUCUGCUGUGAAAACCCGAGGCUCAACCUCGGGCCUGCAGUGGGUACGGGCAGACUAGAGUGCGGUAGGGGAGAAUGGAAUUCCUGGUGUAGCGGUGGAAUGCGCAGAUAUCAGGAGGAACACCGAUGGCGAAGGCAGUUCUCUGGGCCGUAACUGACGCUGAGGAGCGAAAGCGUGGGGAGCGAACAGGAUUAGAUACCCUGGUAGUCCACGCCGUAAACGUUGGGCGCUAGAUGUGGGGACCAUUCCACGGUUUCCGUGUCGCAGCUAACGCAUUAAGCGCCCCGCCUGGGGAGUACGGCCGCAAGGC
rnacentral:rRNA from 1 species